rfam:Triticum aestivum genome assembly, contig: Triticum_aestivum_CS42_TGACv1_scaffold_472201_6AL
CUUGUACUCCCUCUGUCCGAAAAUACUUGUCAUUGAAAUGGAUGUAUCUAGAUGUAUUUUAGUUCUAGACACAUCCAUUUUGAUGACAAGUAAUUCCGGACGGAGGGAGUACUUG